UUUUUCGGUAUCUUCUUUUUAUUUGGUGCCCUUCGAAUAUAUGCCGCCCGGGACAAACUGUCCCUUCCCCUCUCCUUCCUCUCAGCGGCCUUGUUAACAGGUAUUGUCUUUUUCUGGAUAUAUCUGGAAUUCUUGAUAUUUUAUUCAACUUUUAGUUUUUUUGGAUUUCAAAAAAGUUUCCCAUAAAUACAAAAACAAGAAAUUUUAAAAAAAUUGAGAAAGCCAUUAGUUUAAAGUUAAAUUAGGGCAAGUAAAAGGGAAAUAAUCUAGGUCAUUUUCAAAAAAUUCUCCGGAUUUUUUGAAAAUGAUUUAGAUGAUCUCUGUAUUAACAAAGCAAUGAUAUAGAAUAUUAGCAUUAUAUCAUUUGCUUUAAUGUAGAACACGUUUUUCUGUUUUGAACAAACAUAAUAAGCUGUUAUUAAUUUCUAGAAUGGAAUGUUAAACUUUAGGAGUAAGCAGGUUGAUGAACCCUGGAUUUUCUUGACUCUACUUAUUGGUUUUUGCUCAAUUAACUCAACAAAAGCAAUGCAGAAAUAGAAUUAAUAAUGGAAUGUUUAUUUUCUUUAAAUUUUUUGAAAUAUUAAAUAAUUAAAUUCAAAA